rnacentral:rRNA from 1 species
AAUUCCAGCUCCAAUAGUGUAUAUUAGAGUUGUUGCAGUUAAAAAGCUCGUAGUUGGAUUUCUGCUGUGGUCAUCCGGUACCGCCCGUAUGGGUGCGCACCUGGUUUGGCUGCGGCUUUCUUCCUGUAGCCGUCCACGCUUAAUUGCGUGUGUUUGCGUUACGGAACUUUUACUUUGAGAAAAAUAGAGUGUUUCAAGCAGGCUUGUCGCCCUGAAUACUUCAGCAUGGAAUAAUAGGAUAGGACCUUGGUUCUAUUUUGUUGGUUUCUAGGACCAAGGUAAUGAUUAAUAGGGACAGUUGGGGGCAUUCGUAUUUAACUGUCAGAGGUGAAAUUCUUAGAUUUGUUAAAGACGAACUACUGCGAAAGCAUUUGCCAAGGAUGUUUUCAUUAAUCAAGAACGACAGUAGGGGGUUUGAAGACGAUUAGAUACCGUCGUAAUCUCUACCAUAAACUAUGCCGACUAGAGAUAGGGAAACGCCUACCUUGCUUCUCCUG